rnacentral:lncRNA from 1 species
UAUUUUUGUCUUGCUAUUUGUUUGAAAUCUUGUAUAGGUUGUUGAUUAGUCAUAGAGGAUAUAGAGUGGAAUUCUUUUCCCCACAAAUUAUUAUCCUUGCUUAAGUGGUUCCCUCUAGUCCAUGAUUGUUUUUCUUAACAUAAACUUUCGGUAUUUUAGGUCGAUCAACCCUGACUCGAGCAUUACCUUUUUUUCCUGCCUUAUGGUCAUGGACCCUAUAACUUUUCUUGUAGCGUACAUCGCUGAGUUGGGGCCUCUUGUGCUCCAUCUACAUAAGAUGUUACGACAUGUUAAAUGGAGAUCAGGGAAUAAAUUCAUGCUUUAUAUAGUUAAUUGCUUUAUAUACUUGACUUUCAUUUCAUCACUUUAAGGGAACACAAUCCAUGAAAUUUUUAUUUUAUAACUUUACCUAUUGGUGAUUAUGAAGAACAUGAUCCAAGACAUUAUUAUUUUUGUAACUUUUAGGGCACUGUUUUCUUGUUUCGUUCCUCCUGGAUUUGUUGUCAUUUUUUCCCCUUAUUUCGUAUAAGAAAUUUGUGCAAAUUUUUUC